GAUGUACUCCCUCUGUCCGGAAAUAUUUGUCACAAGAAUGGAUGUAUCUAGAUGUAUUUUAGUUCAAGAUACAUCCAUUUUUAUCCAUUUAUUUGACAAGUAAUUGUGGACGGAGGGAGUAUAAC
rnacentral:pre_miRNA from 1 species